rnacentral:rRNA from 1 species
AUACGAAAGGGGCAAGCGUUGUUCGGAAUUACUGGGCGUAAAGCGCACGUAGGCGGCAUUGUAAGUUGGGGGUGAAAUCCCGGAGCUUAACUCCGGAACUGCCUUCAAAACUACAAAGCUAGAGGAUGUGAGAGGAUAGUGGAAUUCCGAGUGUAGAGGUGAAAUUCGUAGAUAUUCGGAAGAACACCAGUGGCGAAGGCGACUGUCUGGCACAUUUCUGACGCUGAGGUGCGAAAGCGUGGGGAGCAAACAGGAUUAGAAACCCCAGUAGUCC